rnacentral:misc_RNA from 1 species
AAAUAGGUCCCACUCCCACCAAGACGUUGUUUCUUACAAAUGGAAGGCUAUGCAUAACUGAGGCAAUGAUCAAACUGAGAACAUUCAUUAAAAGAAAAUCUCCUUUGAACAAUGAAUUUAGUUCGAAAUGGAUUUCUUGUAAAUUUAUAUUUCAGUACUAGUAUUUAAACAAAUAGGAUUUUGUUUCUCAGUGCAAUGCUACAUAAGAGGAAAGGCAAAGUCCGGCAU